ACAUGACUCAUAGAGAGGCUCAGUGUGGAAAAGUUGGAUUAGUGAGAGCAGAUGUGGGAAGGGAGUGAGUGGUUCACAGGUCUGCCCAGGGGGUGCACAUGCACUACUAGCCUGGCAGAUCAGCACGUGGUCUGGAUGGUGGCAAAGGCAUACAGGGACCAGCGCUUCUUCAGGUGUCUGUCCUCACAACACUUCUAAAUCUCGGAGCUCUUCCCCCAGACUGUGAGCCCUGCUGAGGUCUCAGCACCGGGUAAUGAAUGGGUCUGUCUUGCCAAACAGGAUUUGAAUUCUUACAGAGGUUUCCCAGGGAUGGCCACUGUCCAGGGAAAGGUGUCUUUGGGGGAGUCACAGUGAGGCUGGCUGCUCUACAUGGUUAAGGGAGAGCUAGGCACUGCUGAAGGUAACUCUUUUAGUACAGUGCAUCUGGGAGGGCAGGGAGCGAGCAAACCAUUCCUUCCUCAAGGCUUUUCUCUGGAUAUUUUUCCCCUGCUCUGAGACAGGGUUUCUCUGUGUAGACCAGGAUGGCCUGGAAUUCAGAGAUCCUCCUGCCACGGCCUCUGCAGUACUGGGAAUAAAGGAGUUAAAGCCGCUAGUCAUCAUUCCGAAUCCAUGAACCCAGCACUCUGCCCUCUCUGCCCACCUUAAAGGACUAAUCUCAAAUGGAGACAGAUGGCACAAGAGGGAUGUGUACACUAGAGAGAUCUCAGAAGGCCUGCCUACCUUCCCAAGGUAUCUCUCCGGGCCUAUCACAGUCCUGAAAUGCCUGCUGGGAGCACCACUCACUUUUCCCCCAAAGGUCUUCAUCACCAAGUCAGUUCUGAAUAUGAAGAAAUAAAGACUCUGGAUUCAA